GGCGCGGCCUACACAUGCAAGUCGAGCGGAUGACGGGAGCUUGCUCCUUGAUUCAGCGGCGGACGGGUGAGUAAUGCCUAGGAAUCUGCCUGGUAGUGGGGGACAACGUUUCGAAAGGAACGCUAAUACCGCAUACGUCCUACGGGAGAAAGCAGGGGACCUUCGGGCCUUGCGCUAUCAGAUGAGCCUAGGUCGGAUUAGCUAGUUGGUGAGGUAAUGGCUCACCAAGGCGACGAUCCGUAACUGGUCUGAGAGGAUGAUCAGUCACACUGGAACUGAGACACGGUCCAGACUCCUACGGGAGGCAGCAGUGGGGAAUAUUGGACAAUGGGCGAAAGCCUGAUCCAGCCAUGCCGCGUGUGUGAAGAAGGUCUUCGGAUUGUAAAGCACUUUAAGUUGGGAGGAAGGGCAGUAAGUUAAUACCUUGCUGUUUUGACGUUACCGACAGAAUAAGCACCGGCUAACUCUGUGCCAGCAGCCGCGGUAAUACAGAGGGUGCAAGCGUUAAUCGGAAUUACUGGGCGUAAAGCGCGCGUAGGUGGUUCGUUAAGUUGGAUGUGAAAGCCCCGGGCUCAACCUGGGAACUGCAUCCAAAACUGGCGAGCUAGAGUAUGGUAGAGGGUGGUGGAAUUUCCUGUGUAGCGGUGAAAUGCGUAGAUAUAGGAAGGAACACCACUGGCGAAGGCGACCACCUGGACUGAUACUGACACUGAGGUGCGAUNGCGUGUGGAGCAAACACGAUUACAUACCCUGGUAGUCCACGCCGUAAACGAUGUCAACUAGCCGUUGGAAUCCUUGAGAUNUUAGUGGCGCAGCUAACGCAUUAAGUUGACCGCCUGGGGAGUACGGCCGCAAGGUUAAAACUCAAAUGAAUUGACGGCGGCCCGCACAAGCGGUGGAGCAUGUGGUUUAAUUCGAACCAACUCGAAGAACCUUACCACGCCUUGACAUGCAUAGAACUUUCCACAUAUGGAUUGCUGCCUUCGGGAACUCUGACACAGGUGCUGCAUGGCUGUCGUCAGCUCGUGUCGUGACAUGUUGGGUUCAGUCUCGUAUCCAUCGCAACUCUUGUCCUUAUUUACCAGCACGUCAUGGUGGCACUCUAAGGAGACUGCCAGUGACAACCCGCAGUAAGGUGGUGAUGACGUCAAGUCAUCAUGGCCCUUACGCCUGGGCUACCACGUGCUANAAUGGUCGGUACCAAGG
rnacentral:rRNA from 1 species